rnacentral:tRNA from 1 species
UGGGAAUUAGUUCAGUUUGGUAGAACGCUUGAUUUGGGAUCAAGAGGUCGUGAGUUCGAGUCUCGCAUUUCCAA